rnacentral:tRNA from 1 species
GGCGUUGUUGCCGUCAACCAGCUUCCCAAGCUGAAUACGCGGGUUCGAUUCCCGUCAUCGGCUCCA